CACAUCCCGAAAAGCUGGCAUCGCCGGCAAAGUCAACGAAAUCAAAGCUCCACAAAUCAUGGAUCUCAGGAGAAGUAGGUGAAAACUCACAGUUGAGGCUCACCGUUGGAUCAAGUGCAACAGCUGUCUAAAGGUACGCAGGCAGGAAUCAGUGUAGCCAAACGCUGGACAAUUUAUGCU
rnacentral:lncRNA from 12 species